UACGUAGGGGGCUAGCGUUGUCCGGAAUCAUUGGGCGUAAAGAGCGUGUAGGCGGCUCGAUAAGUCCGCUGUGGAAAGUCCCAAGGGCUCAACCCUGGGAUGCCGGUGGAUACUGUCGGGCUCGAGUCCGGAAGAGGCGAGUGGAAUUCCUGGUGAUAGCGGUGAAAUGACGCAGAUAUCAGGAGGAACACCAAUGGCGAAGGCAGCUCGCUGGGACGUGACUGACGCGUGGAGAACGCGAAAGCGUGGGGAGCAAACAGG
rnacentral:rRNA from 1 species